rnacentral:rRNA from 1 species
GACGAACGCUGGCGGCGUGCUUAACACAUGCAAGUCGAACGGAAAGGCCUUUUCGGAGGUACUCGAGUGGCGAACGGGUGAGUAACACGUGGGUGAUCUGCCCUGCACUCUGGGAUAAGCCUGGGAAACUGGGUCUAAUACCGGAUAGGACCGCACUUUAGUGUGUGUGGUGGAAAGUUUAUUCGGUGUAGGAUGAGCCCGCGGCCUAUCAGCUUGUUGGUGGGGUAAUGGCCUACCAAGGCGGCGACGGGUAGCCGGACUGAGAGGUUGGUCGGCCACAUUGGGACUGAGAUACGGCCCAGACUCCUACGGGAGGCAGCAGUGGGGAAUAUUGCACAAUGGGCGCAAGCCUGAUGCAGCGACGCCGCGUGGGGGAUGACGGCCUUCGGGUUGUAAACUCCUUUCGCCAGGGACGAAGCGUUUUGUGACGGUACCUGGAGAAGAAGCACCGGCUAACUACGUG